rnacentral:lncRNA from 1 species
AAGACUUUGAAUCGAAGCCCGGCUCCUUUCUCUGGGGGUAUCAAGGCAACGAUGUUGAGUCAAAGUCUAAGGAGAAGAAGCCUCUUAUAGCCCGGCUCCUUUCUCUGGGGAUAUCAAGGCCCUCUUAUGAAAGACUUUGAGUCAAAGCCCGGCUCCUUUCUCUGGGGUAUCAAGGCAACGACGCUGAGUCUAAGUCUAAGGAGGAGAAGCCUCUUAUGAAAGACUUUGAGUCGAAGCCCGGCUCCUUUCUCUGGGGGUAUCAAGGCAACCACGCUGAGUACAAGGAGGAGAAACCACUCGUGAAAGAUAAUUAAUGUCCAGGGAAGCCGCAACUUUACCUCUGAAUGGACCACGGACAUAUAUGUCUUCUAGCUGGUCUGAUUUUCUGCAUUUUCUUUAUUGGCAUGAACAUGUGUGAUAUGUAAUAAAUGCAGUUCUUCUUUCAACCAAGCGUUCUGUAU